rnacentral:rRNA from 1 species
CGGUAACAGCCCGGUAGUUGAAAUGGCUUUCCCUCCAGAGUGGAUCCUGAGUACGGCGGAACACGUGAAAUUCCGUCGGAAUCCGGGAGGACCAUCUCCCAAGGCUAAAUACUCCCUAGUGACCGAUAGUGAACCAGUACCGUGAGGGAAAGGUGAAAAGCACCCCGGAAGGGGAGUGAAACAGUUCCUGAAACCGUGUGCCUACAAGUAGUUAGAGCCCGUUAAUGGGUGAUAGCGUGCCUUUUGUAGAAUGAACCGGCGAGUUACGAUUUGUUGCAAGGUUAAGCGGAAAAAGCGGAGCCGUAGCGAAAGCGAGUCUGAAUAGGGCGCAUAAGUAACAGGUCGUAGACCCGAAACCAGGUGAUCUACCCAUGUCCAGGAUGAAGGUAAGGUAAUACUUACUGGAGGUCCGAACCCACGCACGUUGAAAAGUGCGGGGAUGAGGUGUGGGUAGCGGAGAAAUUCCAAUCGAACUUGGAGAUAGCUGGUUCUCUCCGAAAUAGCUUUAGGGCUAGCCUCGAGGUAAAGAGUCAUGGAGGUAGAGCACUGUUUGGACUAGGGGCCCUUCUCGGGUUACCGAAUUCAGAUAAACUCCGAAUGCCAUGUACUUAUACUCGGGAGUCAGACUGCGAGUGAUAAGAUCCGUAGUCGAAAGGGAAACAGCCCAGACCACCAGUUAAGGUCCCCAAAUAUAUGUUAAGUGGAAAAGGAUGUGGGGUUGCUUAGACAACCAGGAUGUUGGCUUAGAAGCAGCCACCAUUGAAAGAGUGCGUAAUAGCUCACUGGUCGAGUGACCCCGCGCCGAAAAUGUACCGGGGCUAAACAUAUUACCGAAACUGUGGAUGAACCUCUUUAGAGGUUCGUGGUAGGAGAGCGUUCUAAGGGCGGUGAAGUCAGACCGGAAGGACUGGUGGAGCGCUUAGAAGUGAGAAUGCCGGUAUGAGUAGCGAAAGAAGGGUGAGAAUCCCUUCCACCGAAUAUCUAAGGUUUCCUGAGGAAGGCUCGUCCGCUCAGGGUUAGUCGGGACCUAAGCCGAGGCCGAUAGGCGUAGGCGAUGGACAACAGGUAGAGAUUCCUGUACCAGUGCUAAUUGUUUAACCGAUGGGGUGACACAGAAGGAUAGGGAAUCGCACGAAUGGAAAUGUGCGUCCAAGCAGUGAGUGUGAGAAGUAGGCAAAUCCGCUUCUCGCGAAGCAUGAGCUGUGAUGGGGAAGGAAAUUAAGUACGGAAGUUCCUGAUUUCACGCUGUCAAGAAAAGCCUCUAGGAAGAGUAGUACUGCCCGUACCGCAAACCGACACAGGUAGAUGAGGAGAGAAUCCUAAGGUGAGCGAGAGAACUCUCGUUAAGGAACUCGGCAAAAUGACCCCGUAACUUCGGGAGAAGGGGUGCUCUAUUAGGGUGCAAGCCCGAGAGAGCCGCAGUGAAUAGGCCCAGGCGACUGUUUAGCAAAAACACAGGUCUCUGCAAAACCGUAAGGUGACGUAUAGGGGCUGACGCCUGCCCGGUGCUGGAAGGUUAAGAGGAGUGCUUAGCUUCGGCGAAGGUACGAAUUGAAGCCCCAGUAAACGGCGGCCGUAACUAUAACGGUCCUAAGGUAGCGAAAUUCCUUGUCGGGUAAGUUCCGACCCGCACGAAAGGCGCAACGAUCUGGGCACUGUCUCAACGAGAGACUCGGUGAAAUUAUAGUACCUGUGAAGAUGCAGGUUACCCGCGACAGGACGGAAAGACCCCGUGGAGCUUUACUGCAACCUGAUAUGGAAUGUUUGUACCGCUUGUACAGGAUAGGUAGGAGCCGAAGAGACGUGUGCGCUAGCAUACGAGGAGGCAAUGGUGGGAUACUACCCUGGCUGUAUGACCAUUCUAACCCGCCACGCUUAGCGCGUGGGGAGACAGUGUCAGGUGGGCAGUUUGACUGGGGCGGUCGCCUCCUAAAGAGUAACGGAGGCGCCCAAAGGUUCCCUCAGAAUGGAUGGAAAUCAUUCGCAGAGUGUAAAGGCACAAGGGAGCUUGACUGCGAGACUGACAAGUCGAGCAGGGACGAAAGUCGGGCUUAGUGAUCCGGUGGUUCCGCAUGGAAGGGCCAUCGCUCAACGGAUAAAAGCUACCCCGGGGAUAACAGGCUUAUCUCCCCCAAGAGUCCACAUCGACGGGGAGGUUUGGCACCUCGAUGUCGGCUCGUCGCAUCCUGGGGCUGUAGUCGGUCCCAAGGGUUGGGCUGUUCGCCCAUUAAAGCGGCACGCGAGCUGGGUUCAGAACGUCGUGAGACAGUUCGGUCCCUAUCCGUCGCGGGCGCAGGAAAUUUGAGAGGAGCUGUCCUUAGUACGAGAGGACCGGGAUGGACACACCGCUGGUGUACCAGUUGUUCCGCCAGGAGCAUCGCUGGGUAGCUAUGUGUGGCAGGGAUAAACGCUGAAAGCAUCUAAGCGUGAAGCCCCCCUCAAGAUGAGAUUUCCCAUUUCUUCGGAAAGUAAGAUCCCUGAAAGAUGAUCAGGUAGAUAGGUUUGGAGUGGAAGUGUAGCGAUACAUGGAGCGGACAAAUACUAAUCGAUCGAGGACUUAACCAA